rnacentral:misc_RNA from 1 species
AAGUGAUGAUGAUAUGGGUUUCAGCCUCUUCGAUUAGAUCGUUUCUCUGCUUUUAUUUCUUUAUAGUUUGAUGUUAGGUACUGUUUUCUUGGGAAUCGAAAAGACUUGUUGAUUUAGUCACAUUAUCUUAUGUUUUGAAAGGUGAAUUGUUGAAUUGUUUUUAUUUGAGGUUUUGUUCUAUCAAUAUUAGGAACUGCGUUGGAG